CGUCCCGUAGCUCAGUGGCAAGAGCACUCUGAACGACUAUGAGACGUCAUCGGUUCAAAUCCGAUCGGGACGA
rnacentral:tRNA from 1 species